rnacentral:rRNA from 1 species
ACUGUCUUGUAAUUGGAAUGAAUGGAAGUUAAAUCGCUCCACGAGUAUCAAUUGGAGGGCAGGUCUGGUGCCAGCAGCCGCGGUAAUUCCAGCUCCAAUAGCGUAUAUUAAAGUUGUUGCGGUUAAAAAGCUCGUAGUUGGAUUUCUGCUGAGGACGAUCGGUCCGCCCUCUGGGUGAGCAUUGACUCGGCCUUGGCAUCUUCUUGGAGAACGCUACUGCACUUGACUGUGUGGUGCGGUAUCCAGGACUUUUACUUUGAGGAAAUUAGAGUGUUUCAAGCAGGCGCACGCCUUGAAUACAUUAGCAUGGAAUAAUGAGAUAGGACCUUGGUUCUAUUUUGUUGGUUUCUAGAGCUGAGGUAAUGAUUAAAAGGGACGGUUGGGGUUCUUCGUAUUCAAUUGUCAGAGGUGAAAUUCUUGGAUUUAUGGAAGACGAACUGCUGCGAAAGCGUCGAACAAGGACGUUCUCAUUAAUCAAGAACGAAAGUUAGGGGAUCGAAGAUGAUUAGAUACCAUCGUAGUCUUAACCAUAAACUAUGCCGAUUCAGGAUUGGCGGUCGUUUGUUCUCG